CAGUCGCGUAUAUUAAAGUUGUUGCAGUUAAAAUGCUCGUAGUUGAAGUUCGGAUGCAGCAGAGCUUGGAAACGCUGUUAUGGUGCUUCCGUUGCUUUUGCUUGUCCACAGUGCGUUGCAAGUACGUAUGUGCUUGUGCGUGCAUUUUACUUUGAGAAACAUAGGGUGUUCCACGCAUGUUACGGCAUGAAUAUUCCAGCAUGGGAUAAUCUGGUACGACUUCCAAUCUGCCAUUUUGGUUCGUAGGUUGGAAGUAAUGAUUAAUAGGGACUGUCGGGGGCAUUGGUAUUUGACUGUCAGAGGUGAAAUUCUUAGAUUCGUUGAGGACCAACCACUGCGAAAGCAUUUGUCAAGGAUGUCUCCAUUAA
rnacentral:rRNA from 1 species